ACGCCGUCCUGAACGGCGUUCACGGCCUUGACCGGGCCCGUGAGGCGGGGGUGGUGCCGUGUCGGCGCAGCACCACCCCCGCAGC
rnacentral:ncRNA from 1 species